GAGAGGGAAGGGCCUCCGCCAGCAGCCCUCUACUGCUGCUUCACACUUCCUUCAGUCCCUGACUGAACUCACCACCCGCCUGGAGAGAUGCAAAACCACUUUUAUUCGUUGCCUGAAGCCAAACUAUGUCAAGCUUCCUGGGAUCUUUGACGUAGACUAUAUGUUGGCCCAGCUGAGGCAUGCUGGGAUGUUGGAAACCAUCCAUAUCCGGAAAGAGG